rnacentral:rRNA from 1 species
UACGAAGGGAGCUAGCGUUGUUCGGAAUUACUGGGCGUAAAGGGCGUGUAGGUGGUUCGAUAAGCAAGAUGUGAAAUCCCUGGGCUUAACCUAGGAAUGGCAUUUUGGACUGUUGGACUCAGUGUGCGAGAGGGGAAAGUGGAAUGGCGAGUGGAGCAGUGAAAUGCGUUGAUAUUCGUUGGAACACCAGAGGCGAAGGCGACUUUCUGGCUCGACACAGACACUAAGGCGCGAAAGCGUGGGGAGCAAACAGG